CCUACGGGUGGCAGCAGUGAGGAAUAUUGGUCAAUGGCGGGAGCCUGAACCAGCCAAGUCGCGUGAGGGACGACCGUCCUAUGGAUUGUAAACCUCUUUUGUCGGGGAACAAAGGCGCCCACGGGUGGGCGGAUGAGUGUACCCUAAGAAAAAGCAUCGGCUAACUCCGUGCCAGCAGCCGCGGUUAUACGGGGGAAGCGAGCGUUUUCCGGAUUUUUUUGGUUUAAAGGGUGCGUAGGCGGACAGUCAAGUCAGCGGUAAAAAUGCGGGGCUAAACGGCGUACAGCCGUUGAAACUGGCAGUCUUGAGUGGGCGAGAAGUAGGCGGAAUGCGUGGUGUAGCGGUGAAAUGCAUAGAUAUCACGCAGAACUCCGAUUGCGAAGGCAGCAUACCGGCGCCCGACUGACGCUGAGGCCCGAAGGCGUGGGGAGCAAACAGGAUUAGAUACCCGGGUAGUC
rnacentral:rRNA from 1 species